UGACCCGUCUUGAAACACGGACCAAGGAGUUUAUCGUGUGCGCAAGCCAUUCGGCUCAGAAACCCAAAGGCGCAAUGAAAGUGAACAAUGUCCUCGCAAGAGGCAGACGUGCGAUCCCCGGCGCCUCGGUGCCGGGGCGCAGCAUGGCCCCAUCCCGACUGCUUGCAGUGGGGUGGCGGAAGAGCGUGCGCGGUGAGACCCGAAAGAUGGUGAACUAUUCCUGAGCAGGAUGAAGCCAGAGGAAACUCUGGUGGAAGUCCGAAGCGAUUCUGACGUGCAAAUCGAUCGUCUGACUUGGGUAUAGGGGCGAAAGACUAAUCGAACCAUCUAGUAGCUGGUUCCUUCCGA
rnacentral:rRNA from 1 species